rnacentral:lncRNA from 1 species
UGAAGACUCCUUCGACGAUGAUUCUAAUUAUGACAAUGCAAGAUCAACCCACUUUGAGCGUCACUCUUCACUAAGGGAGUUUCACCAAAUCCCUUUCAGUUAUGCUCAUUGUUAACGGCUCUUAAGUACCAAAUCUAUGCCGUUAACUCCUGCAUAAACACAUAAAAGAUGAGCAUCAACAGUAGUCGUAGGGUUUAUUACUAACCAUUUCCACAAGUGUUGGUGAAUAUUUG